rnacentral:rRNA from 1 species
GAUGAACGCUGGCGGCGUGCUUAACACAUGCAAGUCGAACGGGAAACCUUUUAAUGAAGCUUCGGCAGAUUUAGCUGGUUUCUAGUGGCGGACGGGUGAGUAACGCGUGGGUAACCUGCCUUAUACAGGGGGAUAACAGUCAGAAAUGACUGCUAAUACCGCAUAAGCGCACAGGACCGCAUGGUCCGGUGUGAAAAACUCCGGUGGUAUAAGAUGGACCCGCGUUGGAUUAGCUUGUUGGUGGGGUAACGGCUCACCAAGGCGACGAUCCAUAGCCGGCCUGAGAGGGUGAACGGCCACAUUGGGACUGAGACACGGCCCAGACUCCUACGGGAGGCAGCAGUGGGGAAUAUUGCACAAUGGGGGAAACCCUGAUGCAGCGACGCCGCGUGAAGGAAGAAGUAUCUCGGUAUGUAAACUUCUAUCAGCAGGGAAGAUAGUGACGGUACCUGACUAAGAAGCUCCGGCUAACUACGUG